rnacentral:tRNA from 1 species
AGCAGCGUGGCUCAGUGGGAAAAGCACGGGCUUUGGAGUCCGAGGUCAUGAGUUCGAAUCCCACCUCUGCCA